GCCGCCAUAGCUCAGUCGGUUAGAGCGUGCGUCUAAUAAGCGCAAGGUCGCAGGUUCGAUCCCUGCUGGUGGCA
rnacentral:tRNA from 1 species